rnacentral:rRNA from 1 species
UGGGGGAUAUUGCACAAUGGGCGAAAGCCUGAUGCAGCGACGCCGCGUGGGGGAUGAAGGCUUUCGGGUUGUAAACCUCUUUCGCUAUCGAACAAGGCCCGCUUAGGGUGGGUUGAGGGUAGGUGGAGAAGAAGCGCCGGCUAACUACGUGCCAGCAGCCGCGGUAAUACGUAUGGAGCGAGCGUUGUCCGGAAUUAUUGGGCGUAAAGGGUACGCAGGCGGUUUAAUAAGUCGAAUGUUAAAGAUCGGGGCUCAACCCCGCAAAGCAUUGGAAACUGAUAAACUUGAGUAGUGGAGAGGGAAGUGGAAUUCCUAGUGUAGUGGUGAAAUAAGUAGAUAUUAGGAGGAAUACCAGUAGCGAAGGCGACUUUCUGGACACAAACUGACGCUGAGGUACGAAAGCGUGGGGAGCAAACAGG